AGUAAAACUUCACUGUGGACCCCUACUGCGCAAGACUCGGCCUCUUCUUCUUCCGCAGCGUGAAGUUGUUGUUUGGACAAGGCAUCUGCAACUACAUAGGUUCUCCUUGCCAGGCUUAUAGAAUAUUCGCACAUUGGACUCGUCAAUGCGUGCUUUCCACCUUUUGAUUUUCGCAUUAGGGUUAUACUUCUAUAUUGCGAAGGUUGAUGGUCAGAAAGGAUGUUUACAUCUUUAAUCCCAUACAGAUAGUGCCGCAAUUUUCCCAGUGCUCAAUUAAUAACCAGUAAUUCUCUUUGGUUAGUGGCGUAAUUGAUUUCCAUAUCCUUCAUUGUUCUUGAAAUCAUUAUGAGUGGACGUCUUUCUGGAGAUAGUACUGCACCUUUGCUGAAGCUGAAACAUCGUCGCUAGAUCGAAUGGUUUCUUGUAAUCUGGAUGAUAUACAUCUUCAGAUGCCAAGAUAUUACACAGACAUGCCAAGGAAUUGCACUGCAAUAUUCCUCGAUUUUUGUUUACUGACUGUUCCAUUGUCCCAUUUUAAGAUUUCCGAAAUAGGCGUCAAUAUCGCCGCGAAGUAUUUUAUGAAAGCCCUAUAGUAACUCGCGAGACUCAUGAACGAGCCGAUCCCAAAUACUGUUUUGGGCUCUGGAAAUUUUCUAAUAUCCUUUAUUAUCUUCGGGUCUGUUGACGUGCCGUUACUGGUGACCAUUGACCCCGGUAAGUUUACGCUCAUCUUAAAAAAACGUGAUGUUCCCACAGAUACCCUCAUGGUUGCAUCAUCCAGGUUCUUUAAAUCCCUGUCCUGAGAAGAUUAUCACGUCAUCAACAUAAAGAUAGCAAAACUUACCAAUUUUCUAACAUAAGAUAUCAUAAAUGACACUCUUGAGGUGUAAUAGCAGCAUUCUUCAGACCUAAAGGGAGUCUUCGAAACACGCACUUCCCCCUUAUCAAUCCAUGCAUCUAACCAAUUUACGUGAUUGAAAUAGACAUUUUUGCAAGUAUGAGAGCAAAUCUGUUUACCUUUCGUACCCGAUUUGAGCUGCACUGAGGCUAAACAUAGUGUCGCCUCUGCUUCCAUUAACAGGUCAAAGUGUAUUUUUCCAUGUUGACAGGUUCGGCAGAAGGAAACAUGUUGAACAUUGAGGCAAAACAUGAAUUAUUAAUGGGGUCUCUACUAAGCGGACGCCCCUCACCCCUUAUGUGGUUUGAUAAAAUUUUUGGAUGCACCCUGUUCUAUUAGGAAUUGUGUAUCUGGCCCGCUACUCUGCCUCUGGUGAUGGGCAGCGGGGGUUUACCCCUAAAAAAUGUACGACAUCAGAGUCAUAACUGGUUCUAACGUCGUUUACAAUUUAGGGCUCUGUUCUUUGUCCUGCGUGACGUAAAUCGGCCUUUGUUGCUGUCCCCUCUAUCCGCCUGUGCUGCCAGAUGUGGCAUGUCUUCUGUUUAAAUGGGCUGGGUUAAGAGUGGGUUGAAGGAACCUUGAAAAAGAAAUAUUCAACCUCUGUUGGUAUACUUGGCCUUUGCUCUGUGGUUUGGACUGUUUAUUAAAAUGCGAACAAUUUCUCCUGUACCUUAAUAUUUGGCUCGUUACAAUGAAUAUCAUUUCUUAUUUCUAUGUCAUUAUACGCCUGCACUUCAGGAGGUACAAUGUAUGAUGCUGCUACUCUAUUAGACAGCUCAUAAAUUAUCUGUACUACUACUUGCCUUUCUUGCUGGUUUACGGCUGCUUGUUCAGUUAAAGACAAGACAACAAAAAAGAUUCGAAUUCGUAAUGCCAGAGACACACAUAUGGUACAUAUUGUAGUAUGGUACAGAAACCAUAUGUCUGUCAACCGUAUUUCCUAUUUUUGUUCCAAAGCAAAUGGAGUUCUGUACUACAAUGGUGUUCAAGAAACCAUAAAAAUUAUGUGGUGUUGUGCAAUGUACUACGAUGGAUUGCACUGAACACACCCAAAGUUUUAAGCUCUUCUGUUAUAAUCAUAUGUUUUCAGCCAUUUUGACAUUUAUCAAAAUGAGUUUAAAUUCAAACGUAAAAAGGAUAAAAUAACAAUGAAAAAGAAAAGAAAAAAGUACGUUGGAAACGAAAUCAUUAAAAAAUAAUUGAAGUGUGGGCCUAAUAUAACCAACAGUUGCGCAGAUGGAAAAUGAACAUGGAAUUUUGCUUGCAAUGGACGAAGUGCGAAAUCGCAUAAACAAUUUGGCAAAGAAGUACAGGCAGGAAAGGAAUAUGAUUGUCCCAAGUGGAGGUGCUCCAUCGAAUUGAGAAUACUACGAAGACGAAGGCGCCUACAAAUCCAAUUUUACUCAAGAACUGGCGGAAGAGAGCAUUGACAAAGAUUCCGUUUCAUUGGUGGCAAAUGAUGAUGAAAUAGAAGAGAUACCAUCAACUUGGACGUCUGCAAAAAAGAGAAAGAGAAACAAUGAUGAAGACUUCCUCGAACUCGCUAAAAAGAAACAAAAGAUAAUGGAAGAAAAGAAGAAUAAAUCUAUUAAAAACGAAGAGAAAGCUCUUGAUUUAAUGGAACAAACCAACACCAUUCUUUUGGCUAUAUUAAAUAAAAAUACUUAACGAGAGAGAAAAAAAUGUUAAGAAUAUCAAAUAUGUGAAAAAUAUGUCGUAAUAAUGUAAUAUAUUAAAAUAUAAUAACCAUAUAUUAACUAAAAUACUAAACCAAUGUACUUAAACGUGUAUAUUCUGUGAAUAAAAAUGUUAAGAAUACAUACAAGUACUUUGUAAAAAAGAUGUCAUAAUUGCUUGUCUGAUGGCUAUUCCACUGCUGCAGUCAUUUCUAUCUGCAUGGCUCCUAUGAGGCUGCCUUGCGCUAUUUUCGGUGUUUACUUGAUCAAUCCAUUUCUGAUU